UACAGAGGUCUCAAGCGUUGUUCGGAUUCAUUGGGCGUAAAGGGUGCGUAGGCGGCGCGGUAAGUCGGGUGUGAAAUCUCGGAGCUUAACUCCGAAACUGCAUUCGAUACUGCCGUGCUUGAGGACUGGAGAGGAGACUGGAAUUUACGGUGUAGCGGUGAAAUGCGUAGAUAAUCGUAAGGAAGACCAGUGGCGAAGGCGGGUCUCUGGACAGUUCCUGACGUGAGGCACGAAGGCCAGGGGAGCAAACGGG
rnacentral:rRNA from 1 species